CAAAAAGUAGUUUAACCAAAAUAGUAGUUUUGGGUACUACAGAUAAGUAGUUCUUUUUGA
rnacentral:tRNA from 1 species